GAUAGAUCUUGACCUGAUAAACAAUUUUACCCAUGUCAGAUUUGCUCUAAAUGCUUUGGUUUUUGAGUUAUAAGCCAAAAACUGCAUUUUACCCCUAUGUUCUAUUUUUAGCCAUGGCGUCCAUCUUGGUUGGUUGGCCUGGUCACCGGACACAUUUUUUAAACUAGAUACCCCAAUGAUGAUUGUGGCCAAGUUUGGUAAAAUUUGGCCCAGUAGUUUCAGAGGAGAAGAUUUUUGUAAAAGUUAACGACGAUGGACGCCAAGUGAUGAGAAAAGCUCACUUGGCCCUGUGGGCCAGGUGAGCUAAUAAAAAUG
rnacentral:lncRNA from 1 species